GACGUAUUUAAAAUUACACACUUUGCGCAAUCACAUUCUCUAAAAUUUAACAAGAAAAGUCAAUCAGCAAUGCAAUUAUGGAUCUGGGAUUUAGUGUAAACUAUUAUUAUAUUGCUUACUUACAUGUGAUUAGUGUUUUGAUUAGGGUUUUGAUGUGUUAAUAGGAGGAGGGGUUGCAGAAAUUCCAAGCAGAAGUGGAGGAGGAGGAAGAGAAGGAACAUUGCAGUCCGGUUUCUCUAUUGGACCCUCCGUUCCAAGACGAUGAUGAGGGACAUGACGAUGAAGACGGUUUUGAUUUGGAGUGCAGCUAUGCCAAUGUGCUGAGCAUGAACAAAGCACCACCUUCUGCUGAAGCGUCGUAGAUUUGAGCAAUUGGCGGGGUUAGAUCCAAUUGAACUCGAAAAAAGAAUGCUAGAAGAAGAAGAUGGUAAUGAUGAUGAAUGUGAGAAUGACGAGUCAGAAACAUCGGAUAGCAGCAGAGAAGAAACUCUUGAAGGGCUUCUCAGAGAAGUACUUUCCAAAUUAAACUUCCCUUGUAACAAAAGUAUCCCCGAAGAAAUGCAGAUAUUGUUCAUGGAUCUCAUUGUCGAGGAACAGAGAGAAGUGGAUGAUGCUUUUGACAGCAGAGAAGACGUGGUGGGAAGGGCCUGAAAGAGAUUUGAAUGUUGGAAAGAGGUGGACUCGAACACCAUUGACAUGAUGGUGGAACAAGAUUUCCGAAAGGAGCUCGACGGGUGGAAGAAAAGUCAAGAUCAAAUGGGAGAAACUGCAAUGGAGAUUGAGCUUGCAAUCUUUGGCCCACUGGCGCAGGAAUGGCAAUGGAACUAGUUUGAUUAACUCGAAAAUUAAUCGACCGGGAAAGGUUCGAUGUUAAGGGGACCAUUCCAAAGUGUUUUGGCAUAACUUCUAAUUAUUUUUUUUUCUAAAUCAAAAUAUGAUCACUUGGAGUAUAGUCUGACAUGCACUGUGAAGCAGGAAAUAGGCUUGAAAUAGUAACAUGCCUGAGGGUUACCUGCACUCCUCACAUUUGUUAUGGCUUUUGAAAUGAGCAAAUCGGUUGAGAUUCAAUGUGCAUAAACAACGAGAGUAGUGCAGAAGAAGAAAAAUGCGUGAAAAUCAUUAUCUUUUUUGCGCAGAAACAACGAUUGGGCUGAGGGUUUGCUGUCCCCAAUUCUAUGGAGAUCACGAUCUAGUGCAAGAUCUAAAGUGCGAGAUCUAAAGAGAGAAUAGGGUGAGGAGUUACUGAUAGAGAAUGAAAAGGAAGCAUAGCCGACAGAAAAGUAACAGUGGCAAUAGGGUGGUGUGGUUGCCGGAAUUUUACUUCACUGUUGAUUUUUGUAAAUCUUUUAUUUAUAGUGUUUUAAUUAAUUUUGUGAAAAAUUAAUUGUGUUAGUUGUGAAGUGAAGUUGAAGAACUCAUGUCAAAAAAUUAUAAAAGAGAUGC